CCUACGGGAGGCAGCAGUGAGGAAUAUUGGUCAAUGGACGGAAGUCUGAACCAGCCAUGCCGCGUGCAGGAUGACGGCUCUAUGAGUUUUACACUGCUUUUGUACGAGAAUAAUUCUUCUUACGUGUAGUGAUUUGAAUGUAUUGUACGAAUAAGUAUCGGCUAACUCCGUUCCAGCAGCCCCGGUAAUACGGAGGAUCCGAGCGUUAUCCGGAUUUAUUGGGUUUAAAGGGUGCGUAGGCGGUAUGAUAAGUUAGAGGUCAAAGGUCGGGGCUUAACCCCUUGACUGCCUCUGAUACUGUUCGACUAGAGAGGGGAUGCAGUAGGCGGAAUGAGUAGUGUAGCGGUGAAAUGCUUAGAGAUUACGCAGAACACCGAUUGCGGAGGCAGCUUGCUAAUCCGCAUCUGACGCUGAUGCACGAAAGCGUGGGUAGCGAACAGGAUUAGAUACCCCAGUAGUC
rnacentral:rRNA from 1 species